AAAAAAACAGCUAACAAACUUAAUAUUUGACGUUACAGUUUGUGUUUUACUCAACUUAAUCCUUAUGAUUCAUGACUCAUCUGUUUUUAACAAUCUUUUUCUGUCAAUUGUAAAGCAAAACAAGCGAAGGCUUGGUAUAGAAGAUGAUAUCUGGUUAACAUGACGAUCAGAAGUAAAACCCCUUUCACUAACCUACUGUAGCAUAAUCUUUCUUUCUAUAAGAAAUUGCAUUAUGUGUAUUAUAUCUUUUUUUUACGUUGUCAGAUGA